AGGCUGACCCAUACUCACACUUUCGCAGAGGUCUGACCUUUCAUCUCCCAUUUGAUCUCUGGUGCCUAUGACGUGUUGGGACUUGGUUUCACCUCCAGGAAGGAUCUGGAAUGGUUGGUCACUGGCAGAUUCUCACCAAAAGUAGGAAAUUUAUGCAGAAUAUUUCAUCUUUGAGAGAAGAGCAGCUCUUUAGUAAGCAGAGCAGUAUCAGGAAGGAACAUGCCAAUUGCCUACAUACGCAGGAUGGGUGUUCGAUUGUAAUUGUGCCUACAGAUACUCCUGUGACCUCGUCUUUUGCUGAUGACUUCAGUCAUUGUUUGUAAUAGUCAGACCCCUGGGGCAGAGAACAGAGUGAUUCAUCUCUUCUUGGGGUACUUGAAUUUACAGACCACUAAACAGACUGAAAUUAUUCUUAUUUGGAGCUUGCAUGAGACAAUUUUCAAAACUAGAAACAGUGCCAAACCAGAGCCCUAGAUCCAGAUUCAGAUGUCAGUGUGCAGUGCAACCUGUUACUGUAGCGGGCUGAGCACAUACACCAAACUUCUGGGAAGUUUUGAUUACUCAAAUCUAUGGGCAUUUGUAUCAUCAGGGAACCCCUUAGUAUGUACAGGCUAGUCAGCUUUAUUGACUACUCA
rnacentral:lncRNA from 1 species